ACCAGUUCUUUACUGCUUCUUGAAAACAUUCAGACUUUCCUUUAAUUUCUUUUCCAUCAUUUUGAUAUUUCAUUUACUUUUGCUUCUUCUCUCAGAGACCUUGAUUUAAUUCUUUUGAUAGACAGACACUGCUGAGCACUUUCUCCCUCACCUUGCAGAGAUAAGUAUGUUGCAGUCUCUGUGCUCCUGCACGGAGAGAGCUGGGAAAGCAGCAUAGGGGAUGAAUCCAUUGGAAAAACAACAACAACAAACUGAAAAAGCAAGCAGAAGAGCAAGGACAGAAAACCUCUGAUCAGAGUUUGUAUUUCAGUUCUGCUCUAUAUCCAAGCUGACAGAGAUAUCUUUUCCUUGAUGUCUGUUCCUUCCAAAUAUCCCAGUGGGACAGCUGACAUUGCAGCAGGGGCAAGCCAGCUUCCUACAGACCGUUAACAUAUAGUGGACGUGCAGAAGGGAAAGAUUUCACCUUCUGGCCUGAAAUGGGCAACAGCUCUCCCCUGCUAGUGCCUCUGCAGAUAAGGUGGCAAGCUGUGUUUGUGUGUAAAUAGGUGGCUCAGACUGAUUAUGUGCAUUUAUAUUUUGUCUCCAAGACAGACAUUGUCAGUGGCAACAGCUCUGUGGAGGUGAACCUCCAUCCAGUGUCAUCUCGGGCUUCUCAGCUGGGUUCUGCAGUCACAAAAUUGAGUGUGAGAGGACGCAGGAAUAGAAACAGCACCUCCUUUCCUGGUGGUGAGGACUUGGCUGCCAAGGCCACCUCUUGCUGCAGCAUUUUUCUCCUGAGACUCAGCUUGCACUUCGAUGUGGUUCCUAGCCCUAAGAGUCACUAGUGAGAGAGAACAAUGCGCAGACCAGCUCUGUCAUCUGAGCAAAUGCCCUAAUGCUUCCACAGACAUUUAAUUAAGCAGGUGAGUUACCCACUUAACUCAAGGACUGAGUUAAAGAAGGGUGUAAUUGUUUUAACCAAUGCAGCCUAAGCCAAAAGCACUGGGGAAGGGAUGAACUGCUCCAUUCAUCAGCAGAGGAGUG
rnacentral:lncRNA from 1 species